UGGGGAAUAUUGGACAAUGGGGGGAACCCUGAUCCAGCCAUGCCGCGUGUGUGAAGAAGGCCUUAUGGUUGUAAAGCACUUUAAGCGAGGAGGAGGGUACUGGUAUUAAUACUACCAGCUACUGGACGUUACUCGCAGAAUAAGCACCGGCUAACUCUGUGCCAGCAGCCGCGGUAAUACAGAGGGUGCGAGCGUUAAUCGGAUUUACUGGGCGUAAAGCGUGCGUAGGCGGCUAAUUGAGUCGGAUGUGAAAUCCCCGAGCUUAACUUGGGAAUUGCAUUCGAUACUGGUUAGCUAGAGUGUGGGAGAGGAUGGUAGAAUUCCAGGUGUAGCGGUGAAAUGCGUAGAGAUCUGGAGGAAUACCGAUGGCGAAGGCAGCCAUCUGGCCUAACACUGGCGCUGAGGUACGAAAGCAUGGGGAGCAAACAGG
rnacentral:rRNA from 1 species